rnacentral:rRNA from 1 species
AUUGAACGCUGGCGGCAGGCCUAACACAUGCAAGUCGAACGGAGUGGCGGACGGGUGAGUAAUGUCUGGGAAACUGCCUGAUGGAGGGGGAUAACUACUGGAAACGGUAGCUAAUACCGCAUACUAUCAGAUGAGCCUACGUCGGAUUAGCUAGUUGGUGGGGUAAAGGCCUACCAAGGCGACGAUCCGUAACUGGUCUGAGAGGAUGAUUAGUCAGCCUGGAACUGGUGCACGGUCCAGACGCCUACGGGAGGCAGCAGGGGGAAAUAUUGGACAAUGGGCGAAAGCCUGAUCCAGCCAUGCCGCGUGUGUGAAGAAGGUCUUGGGGUUGUAAAGCACUUUAAGUUGGGAGGCGUUACCAGCAGAAGAAGCACCGGCUAACUACGUGCCAGCAGCCGCGGUAAUUC